AGCGAACGCUGGCGUCAGGCCUAACACAUGCAAGUCGAACGAACCUUUCGGGGUUAGUGGCGGACGGGUGAGUAGCACGUGGGAACGUGCCUUUAGGUUCGGAAUAACUCAGGGAAACUUGUGCUAAUACCGAAUGUGCCCUUCGGGGGAAAGAUUUAUCGCCUUUAGAGCGGCCCGCGUCUGAUUAGCUAGUUGGUUGAGGUAAUGGCUCACCAAGGCGACGAUCAGUAGCUGGUCUGAGAGGAUGAUCAGCCACAUUGGGACUGAGACACGGCCCAAACUCCUACGGGAGGCAGCAGUGGGGAAUCUUGCGCAAUGGGCGAAAGCCUGACGCAGCCAUGCCGCGUGAAUGAUGAAGGUCUUAGGAUUGUAAAAUUCUUUCACCGGGGACGAUAAUGACGGUACCCGGAGAAGAAGCCCCGGCUAACUUCGUG
rnacentral:rRNA from 1 species